AGUGAACGCUGGCGGUAGGCCUAACACAUGCAAGUCGAACGGCAGCACAGUAAGAGCUUGCUCUUACGGGUGGCGAGUGGCGGACGGGUGAGGAAUACAUCGGAAUCUACUUUUUCGUGGGGGAUAACGUAGGGAAACUUACGCUAAUACCGCAUACGACCUACGGGUGAAAGCAGGGGAUCUUCGGACCUUGCGCGAUUGAAUGAGCCGAUGUCGGAUUAGCUAGUUGGCGGGGUAAAGGCCCACCAAGGCGACGAUCCGUAGCUGGUCUGAGAGGAUGAUCAGCCACACUGGAACUGAGACACGGUCCAGACUCCUACGGGAGGCAGCAGUGGGGAAUAUUGGACAAUGGGCGCAAGCCUGAUCGAGCCAUGCCGCGUGGGUGAAGAAGGCCUUCGGGUUGUAAAGCCCUUUUGUUGGGAAAGAAAAGCAGCAGGUUAAUACCCCGAUGUUCUGACGGUACCCAAAGAAUAAGCACCGGCUAACUUCGUG
rnacentral:rRNA from 1 species